GCAGCUUAGUGGCAGAGCAUGCGCUCUGAAUGCAGAAGGUCCCAGGUUCGAUCCCUGGCAUCUCCA